rnacentral:lncRNA from 1 species
CACGAGGCAUACAGUACAUACAACACCAAAAGCAAAAAUCCAUCCAAACUUCAGUUUGUGUUCCUCCACGUCAAACUUGAAGUUAUCUAUUACCAUGUCUAAAAUGAUUUUUCUCACCAAGUGUUGUUCCAAUUUUAGUCUGCUAGCUCGGCCGAAAUCUUUUGCUACAUGGUUCCUAUGUUCGGUUGCACUCUCUCACUCUAUCACACCUCUACUUGUUCAGCGAUUUCCUCUUCCCAUUCACAAACGUUUUCAUCAAAAUGAACUCUUUAAAAUCUUGUUACUGCUUAGUCAAAGGUGGAAGAGGUGUUGUUGUCGCUUAUUGUGUCAUAAGAGACAGAGAAAUAAAAGAGCAAGAGUUGUGGUCAUGAACUAGUAACAUGAAUGAAUGUUGGUAUGAGCUCAAGCGAAGAGAAGAAGUGCUCUGGUAAGAGACCGAGCUGUUCAAGUGAAAAUAGCGUUGGAGGCAUUUAAUCAAACACUUGAAGUGCUUGUUCAAGAGCCGCGAAGUAGGCCGAGCAGAGCUGUGAAAGCGAAGGCCAAAAGGGUGUGGGUUUCAAUUAACUCCUGUUUUGUUCUUUUUCUUAGAACAUCAAACCUAACACUUAGAGUGCUAUUCAAAAAGCAUAAAAAAUCAAGUGGAAAUAGUGUUUGGAGCAUUCAAUCAAAUACUUGGUGUACUUGCUCAAAGUUGGAAAAUUAAAGAGGGAGGUGAAAAUUCAUUUUCAACAACUAAGUUUUUUAAGCUCAAUCAUCCAAGCUGAACAAUAAAUAGAAAAACAUCUGAGAAACAAUAAGUUGGAGAAAAUAUUCAUUUCAAUGCACUUGAUUAUUCAACUAAAAGUUAUCAUGAAAAUGAGGAGGGGGUGCCGAGCAGAGCUGUUGAUAGAAGAGCAAAUAUUUUACAAAACAAGGGUUUAAGUUAUAAAGCGCUUUUUUGUCAAAUAAAAAAAGUUAUAAAGAGCUUUAGCUGUUGUGGUGAACAAUACUCACAUUUAUUAGGAACCAAAUAGCAUAAAAUUAGGUAAGAGGAAAGCUGUUGAGCAGAGGUGAGAGGUGUGGAGCUGGUGAGUGGCUAUUCGAUGGAAGGAGAGAGCGCCAAGCAACAGAGGAUGUCGGCCCUGAUAAUAGCUUUGGUUUUCUUGGAACAUUGCUACUCUUUCUUAAAGUGACGAGCUUCAACUUCAAGUGGUUGAAAGCUAUAAGUUCUUCAAGUUCAAUCAUCUAAACUCAACCAAGUAAACAAUAUACUUAGCUUUCAAACGAGACGCCGAGCAGAUCCGAUAGAAGGCCGAACAGAGAUACACAUAAAUGAAAAAGUUAGAUUUUCUGGUGGAAUUUUUUAAGAAAAA